rnacentral:rRNA from 1 species
CACGUAGGAGGCAAACGUUAUCCGGAUUUACUGGGCGUAAAGUGCGUGUAGGUGGUUCUGUAAGUAGGGCGUGAAAGCUCCCGGCUCAACUGGGAGAGGCCGUUCUAUACUGCAGAGCUAGAGGAUGGUAGAGGGAGGUGGAAUUCCAGGUGUAGCGGUGGAAUGCGCAGAUAUCGGGAAGAACACCGAUGGCGAAGGCAGCCUGCUGGGCCGAAACUGACGCUGAGGUGCGAAAGCUAGGGGAGCGAACAGGAUUAGAUACCCCUGUA